rnacentral:lncRNA from 1 species
CGCUCACACCAAAUCGAGCUUUAUUUGGAGAAGAAACCACCAAGAGCCGCCACAGAUUACCGGACCUACAUCAAGAAAACAGAACGAGCAAGCACCACCUUGAGUCAAAGUGGACAGAGGCAGCCCUAGACCAUGCCCCUGAAACAAGCAGGCUCUGAACGUGCCGCCACCGAAGGAAGAAGUCGUGGUUGACAAGGCCGACAACUCUUCACCUCGCACACGCAACCCGUAACAGACCUUCACGAUUUCGAACCGAAAUCAACCCCUGGAAGCCCCUGCGAGAUAGACUGACCGGUCUAACAAGGAACACCUGCGGAGAACACCAAGACACGCAGAGAAACACCGCAACGCCACCGUCUGGAGAAACCGAGAAGCGCCUUCAACCAAGAGAGCCUUCUCACCCACGCCGAGAACGGAAGGUAGAGGAAGCAGAGGAAGGAGACUGAUCUACUUCCGGAAUCCAGAUCUGACGCCAGAUCGAGACUUCCACGACCACACCCGACCGAAGGAACCUCACAUCCACUCCUCCUCCACGCUUCUCCAGAGUUCCGAGAGAGACAGCACCAGAUCUGGAACCGCGGUGGCGCAAGCUCCCAGAACACCGAGAAAGGAAGCAAGAAGAGGGAGGGAGAGGAGAGGCGAGAAAGAAGAGAGAAGCGACGGGAGGGGG